UGCAGUCGGGCGGUAACACAGAGGAGCUUGCUCCUUGGGUGACGAGCGGCGGACGGGUGAGUAAAGUCUGGGGAUCUGCCUGAUGGAGGGGGAUAACUACUGGAAACGGUAGCUAAUACCGCAUGACGUCUUCGGACCAAAGUGGGGGACCUUCGGGCCUCACGCCAUGAGAUGAACCCAGAUGGGAUUAGCUGGUAGGUGAGGUAACGGCUCACCUAGGCGACGAUCCCUAGCUGGUCUGAGAGGAUGACCAGCCACACUGGAACUGAGACACGGUCCAGACUCCUACGGGAGGCAGCAGUGGGGAAUAUUGCACAAUGGGGGAAACCCUGAUGCAGCCAUGCCGCGUGUGUGAAGAAGGCCUUCGGGUUGUAAAGCACUUUCAGCGGGGAGGAAGGCAAUAAACUUAAUAAGUUUGUUGAUUGACGUUACCCGCAGAAGAAGCACCGGCUAACUCCGUGCCAGCAGCCGCGGUAAUACGGAGGGUGCAAGCGUUAAUCGGAAUGACUGGGCGUAAAGCGCACGCAGGCGGUCUGUUAAGUUGGAUGUGAAAUCCCCGGGCUCAACCCGGGAACAGCAUUCAAAACUGACAGGCUAGAGUCUCGUAGAGGGGGGUAGAAUUCCAGGUGUAGCGGUGAAAUGCGUAGAGAUCUGGAGGAAUACCGGUGGCGAAGGCGGCCCCCUGGACGAAGACUGACGCUCAGGUGCGAAAGCGUGGGGAGCAAACAGGAUUAGAUACCUGGUAGUCCACGCCGUAAACGAUGUCGACUUGGAGGCUGUGGUCUUGAACCGUGGCUUCCGGAGCUAACGCGUUAAGUCGACCGCCUGGGGAGUACGGCCGCAAGGUUAAAACUCAAAUGAAUUGACGGGGGCCCGCACAAGCGGUGGAGCAUGUGGUUUAAUUCGAUGCAACGCGAAGAACCUUACCUACUCUUGACAUCCAGAGAAGACUGUAGAGAUACGGUUGUGCCUUCGGGAGCUCUGAGACAGGUGCUGCAUGGCUGUCGUCAGCUCGUGUUGUGAAAUGUUGGGUUAAGUCCCGCAACGAGCGCAACCCUUAUCCUUUGUUGCCAGCGAUACGGUCGGGAACUCAAAGGAGACUGCCGGUGAUAAACCGGAGGAAGGUGGGGAUGACGUCAAGUCAUCAUGGCCCUUACGAGUAGGGCUACACACGUGCUACAAUGGCGCAUACAAAGAGAAGCGAGCCUGCGAGGGUGAGCGGACCUCAUAAAGUGCGUCGUAGUCCGGAUUGGAGUCUGCAACUCGACUCCAUGAAGUCGGAAUCGCUAGUAAUCGUAGAUCAGAAUGCUACGGUGAAUACGUUCCCGGGCCUUGUACACACCGCCCGUCACACCAUGGGAGUGGGUUGCAAAAGAAGUAGGUAGC
rnacentral:rRNA from 1 species